CUUUUGUUACGUGGCUUUAUCGCUUCCUUCCCCCGCUGAAGGCCGAGGCCAAUCCUCACCCUUUUCUGGAGCAAAACACCCCCUCCCCACUCGGCGGCUCCAGCCGGAUGGUAGAGGGCCUCUUCCCUUGGGGCUGGCGGACCCGCUGACCGUGGAACCGCCUGGGCUAUUUCGGUUCCUUCUCCGCCCCGCGGCCUUGGCUUCCUGCUGAGUUUCCCUACGCUUCCCUUAGCUCACCAGUGACCACAGACGCCGCUUUCAGAGAACUUACUUUAUGUCAAACAGACCAUUUGCGUCUUGUUUGCGUCUUUUUUUUUUUUUGGCCUGAUUUUUUAGGGCAACGGUGCGGAUAUCCUUACCCAUCCUCCCUCCCCCCAUUACAGCGCAGGGAUCUAAUCAAAACGAGUGAUCUGGAAUUCUUUGCUGGCUUCUGUGAGGAGCAUCCUGGCUUAAGGCACGUUCCUCCCCGCAUCCUCAUGCCCCUUCCUGCCCCCUGACCCAGCAGAGAAAGAGCCUGGGAGCUGCCAGUACUGAAGCCCAUGUGCCCUGGAGCCUGUGCUCCUCAACAGAAGCCACGGCAACGAGAAGCCCAUGCACUGCGACUGGAGACCAGCCCCUGCUCCCCGCCAGCUGGAGAAACGCCCUCGCAGCAACAAAGACCCAGCACAGCCAAAAACAAAUGAAUAAGUAAAAUUAAAAAAAACUGGGAGUUGGAAAGUGGUCAGUAUAACCAGAGAAGCAGACUCACAGAUACAGAGAAAAGCCUAGUGGUUACCAGUGUGGAGGAGGGACAACAUGGGUGGGGGAGUGGUCAGCACAAAUGACUGGGUGUACAGGAGGUUCAAGGAUGUAUUG